rnacentral:rRNA from 1 species
UACGAAGGUGACAAGCGUUGUUCGGAAUUAUUGGGCGUAAAGCGCACGUAGGCGGGUUUGUAAGUCGAUUGUGAAAGCCCUAGGCUCAACCUGGGAAUUGCAGUCGAAACUACAAGUCUUGAAUGCUCGAGAGGAUGGUGGAAUUCCAGGAGUAGUAGUGAAAUACGUAGAUAUCUGGAGGAACACCGGAGGCGAAAGCGGCCAUCUGGCGAGACAUUGACGCUAAGGUGCGAAAGCGUGGGGAUCAAAC